UACGGAGGGUGCAAGCGUUGUCCGGAUUUAUUGGGUUUAAAGGGUGCGUAGGUGGCUUGUUAAGUCCGGGGUGAAAGCCCACAGCUCAACUGUGGAACUGCCCUGGAUACUGGCGAGCUUGAGUCCAGACGAGGUUGGCGGAAUGGAAGCUGUAGCGGUGAAAUGCAUAGAUAGCUUCCAGAACCCCGAUUGCGUAGGCAGCUGACUAGGCUGGUACUGACACUGAGGCACGAAAGCGUGGGGAGCGAACAG
rnacentral:rRNA from 1 species